GCCGAUGUAGCUCAGUUGGUAGAGCAAUUGAUUCGUAAUCAAUAGGUCGCCGGUUCAAAUCCGGCCAUCGGCUCCA
rnacentral:tRNA from 1 species